rnacentral:rRNA from 1 species
CAGCAGCCGCGGGAAUACAGAGGGUGCGAGCGUUAAUCGGAUUUACUGGGCGUAAAGCGUGCGUAGGCGGCUUUUUAAGUCGGAUGUGAAAUCCCUGAGCUUAACUUAGGAAUUGCAUUCGAUACUGGGAAGCUAGAGUAUGGGAGAGGAUGGUAGAAUUCCAGGUGUAGCGGUGAAAUGCGUAGAGAUCUGGAGGAAUACCGAUGGCGAAGGCAGCCAUCUGGCCUAAUACUGACGCUAAGGUACGAAAGCAUGGGGAGCAAACAGGAUUAGAUACCCCUGUAGUCCCUGUCUCUUAUAC